UACGUAGGGUGCGAGCGUUGUUCGGAAUUACUGGGCGUAAAGGGCUCGUAGGCGGCCAACUAAGUCAGACGUGAAAUCCCUCGGCUUAACCGGGGAACUGCGUCUGAUACUGGAUGGCUUGAGUUCGGGAGAGGGAUGCGGAAUUCCAGGUGUAGCGGUGAAAUGCGUAGAUAUCGGGAGGAACACCAGUGGCGAAGGCGACUACCUGGCCCAUUCUUGACGCUGAGGCGCGAAAGCUAGGGGAGCGAACGGG
rnacentral:rRNA from 1 species